GACGAACGCUGGCGGCGUGCUUAACACAUGCAAGUCGAACGAAGAGCGGUGGAAGCUUGCUUCUAUCAAUCUUAGUGGCGAACGGGUGAGUAACGCGUAAUCAACCUGCCCUUCAGAGGGGGACAACAGUUGGAAACGACUGCUAAUACCGCAUACGAUCUAACCUCGGCAUCGAGGAAAGAUGAAAGGUGGCCUCUAUUUAUAAGCUAUCACUGAAGGAGGGGAUUGCGUCUGAUUAGCUAGUUGGAGGGGUAACGGCCCACCAAGGCGAUGAUCAGUAGCCGGUCUGAGAGGAUGAACGGCCACAUUGGGACUGAGACACGGCCCAGACUCCUACGGGAGGCAGCAGUGGGGAAUCUUCCGCAAUGGACGAAAGUCUGACGGAGCAACGCCGCGUGAGUGAUGACGGCCUUCGGGUUGUAAAGCUCUGUUAAUCGGGACGAAAGGCCUUCUUGCGAAUAGUGAGAAGGAUUGACGGUACCGGAAUAGAAAGCCACGGCUA
rnacentral:rRNA from 1 species